GUGACGCCUGCCCGGUGCUCGAAGGUUAAUUGAUGGGGUUAGCAUUAGCGAAGCUCUUGAUCGAAGCCCGAGUAAACGGCGGCCGUAACUAUAACGGUCCUAAGGUAGCGAAAUUCCUUGUCGGUUAAAUACCGACCUGCAUGAAUGGCGUAACGAGAUGGGAGCUGUCUCAAAGAGGGAUCCAGUGAAAUUGUAGUGGAGGUGAAAAUUCCUCCUACCCGCGGCAAGACGGAAAGACCCCGUGGACCUUUACUACAGCUUGACACUGCUACUUGGAUAAGAAUGUGCAGGAUAGGUGGGAGGCUUUGAGUAUAUGACGCCAGUUGUAUAUGAGCCAUUGUUGAGAUACCACUCUUUCUUAUUUGGGUAGCUAACCAGCUUGAGUUAUCCUCAAGUGGGACAAUGUCUGGUGGGUAGUUUGACUGGGGCGGUCGCCUCCCAAAUAAUAACGGAGGCUUACAAAGGUUGGCUCAGAACGGUUGGAAAUCGUUCGUAGAGUAUAAAGGUAUAAGCCAGCUUAACUGCAAGACAUACAAGUCAAGCAGAGACGAAAGUCGGUCUUAGUGAUCCGGUGGUUCUGUGUGGAAGGGCCAUCGCUCAAAGGAUAAAAGGUACCCCGGGGAUAACAGGCUGAUCUCCCCCAAGAGCUCACAUCGACGGGGAGGUUUGGCACCUCGAUGUCGGCUCAUCGCAUCCUGGGGCUGGAGCAGGUCCCAAGGGUAUGGCUGUUCGCCAUUUAAAGCGGUACGCGAGCUGGGUUCAGAACGUCGUGAGACAGUUCGGUCCCUAUCUGCCGUGGGCGUAAGAAGAUUGAAGAGAUUUGACCCUAGUACGAGAGGACCGGGUUGAACAAACCACUGGUGUAGCUGUUGUUCUGCCAAGAGCAUCGCAGCGUAGCUAAGUUUGGAAAGGAUAAACGCUGAAAGCAUCUAAGCGUGAAGCCAACUCUAAGAUGAAUCUUCUCUAAGCUCUCUAGAAGACUACUAGUUUGAUAGGCUGGGUGUGUAAUGGAUGAAAGUCCUUUAGCUGACCAGUACUAAUAGAGCGUUUGGCUUAUCUUUAAUAAAGCAU
rnacentral:rRNA from 1 species